GACGAACGCUGGCGGUGUGCUUAACACAUGCAAGUCGAACGGAAAGGCCCUGCUUUUGUGGGGUGCUCGAGUGGCGAACGGGUGAGUAACACGCGAGUAACCUGCCCUUGACUUUGGGAUAACUUCAGGAAACUGGGGCUAAUACCGGAUAGGAGCUCCUGCUGCAUGGUGGGGGUUGGAAAGUUUCGGCGGUUGGGGAUGGACUCGCGGCUUAUCAGCUUGUUGGUGGGGUAGUGGCUUACCAAGGCUUUGACGGGUAGCCGGCCUGAGAGGGUGACCGGCCACAUUGGGACUGAGAUACGGCCCAGACUCCUACGGGAGGCAGCAGUGGGGAAUAUUGCACAAUGGGCGGAAGCCUGAUGCAGCAACGCCGCGUGCGGGAUGACGGCCUUCGGGUUGUAAACCGCUUUCGCCUGUGACGAAGCGUGAGUGACGGUAAUGGGUAAAGAAGCACCGGCUAACUACGUGCCAGCAGCCGCGGUGAUACGUAGGGUGCGAGCGUUGUCCGGAUUUAUUGGGCGUAAAGGGCUCGUAGGUGGUUGAUCGCGUCGGAAGUGUAAUCUUGGGGCUUAACCCUGAGCGUGCUUUCGAUACGGGUUGACUUGAGGAAGGUAGGGGAGAAUGGAAUUCCUGGUGGAGCGGUGGAAUGCGCAGAUAUCAGGAGGAACACCAGUGGCGAAGGCGGUUCUCUGGGCCUUUCCUGACGCUGAGGAGCGAAAGCGUGGGGAGCGAACAGGCUUAGAUACCCUGGUAGUCCACGCUGUAAACGGUGGGUACUAGGUGUGGGGUCCAUUCCACGGGUUCCGUGCCGUAGCUAACGCUUUAAGUACCCCGCCUGGGGAGUACGGCCGCAAGGCUAAAACUCAAAGGAAUUGACGGGGCCCCGCACAAGCGGCGGAGCAUGCGGAUUAAUUCGAUGCAACGCGUAGAACCUUACCUGGGUUUGACAUGGAUCGGGAGUGCUCAGAGAUGGGUGUGCCUCUUUUGGGGUCGGUUCACAGGUGGUGCAUGGCUGUCGUCAGCUCGUGUCGUGAGAUGUUGGGUUAAGUCCCGCAACGAGCGCAACCCUUGUUCACUGUUGCCAGCACGUUAUGGUGGGGACUCAGUGGAGACCGCCGGGGUCAACUCGGAGGAAGGUGGGGAUGACGUCAAGUCAUCAUGCCCCUUAUGUCCAGGGCUUCACGCAUGCUACAAUGGCUGGUACAGAGAGUGGCGAGCCUGUGAGGGUGAGCGAAUCUCGGAAAGCCGGUCUCAGUUCGGAUUGGGGUCUGCAACUCGACCUCAUGAAGUCGGAGUCGCUAGUAAUCGCAGAUCAGCAACGCUGCGGUGAAUACGUUCCCGGGGCU
rnacentral:rRNA from 1 species